rnacentral:rRNA from 1 species
GGACUACCCGGGUAUCUAAUCCUGUUUGCUCCCCUUGCUCUCGCGCCUCAGCGUCAGGUAUCAACUAGAAAACCGCUUUCGCCACAGGUGUUCUUCCACAUAUCUACGCAUUUCACCGCUACACGUGGAAUUCCGUUUUCUCCGUCGACCCUCAAGAUAGGUAGUUUCAAAUGCAGCUCCGAAGUUGAGCUUCGGAAUUUCACAUCUGACUGGCCUUCCCGCCUACGCGCCCUUUACGCCCAAUAAUUCCGAUUAAUGCUCGCGCUCUCCGUAUUACCGCGGCUGCUGGCAC